AUCUUAUUUCAUCCGUUCGGAAUUACUUGUCGUAGAAGUUAAUAGAAAUGAAUGUAUCUAAAAUUAAAAUAUAUCUAGAUACAUCUAUUCCUCGGAUAAGUAUUUCCGGACGGAGGAAAUAUGUU
rfam:Hordeum vulgare subsp. vulgare, WGS project CAJW01000000 data, contig: morex_contig_173143